UGCUUCUGCCUCCCCAAAUCCCUUCCCAGACCCUCCCCUCCCCCUGCCCUCCCCUCGGGAGUGUUGGGGAAAGUGGAUUGUCUUUGUCCCCAAAAGAUUUCUUCUUGUCUUUGGUGGCUAACCCGUGACUAACCUAGGCUUAGAUUAAAGAGAACUGUUUGAGAGACUUAAUGUUUAUCUGUUGGGGCUAAAGUAGACAUUUAUCAGAGCCAGGCUUGUGGAAGUGUCUUGGAAAUGUUUGAAGAAUAGGUUCCAAGAACCAACCCUGUGCUGUUUUUACUUUUGUUCCGGCUGUACCUCUUGCUUGGUGUGCCUUUGCCCUCCAUCCUGCAUGGCUUUCUCCCUUAGUAGGCCUUCCUGCCAGCUUGCCCUGAUCUCUCUUCUGCCUUUCAUGAAGCCAAGUACUUUAUGUGUUUGAGUCUAUCCAGUCGGAUCUAAGUUGAGCCUUCUUUUUCUCUCUGUGCCCACAUGGCACCUGUCAGCAUGCUGAGCAAUGUCCCCUUGACCAGCUCUUGAUGAGGUAUGUGGAUUACAAGUAGGAGUACAGCUGAGCCUUGCCCAAAAGUGCUUGGGCUGACAGGGAAGACAGCUGGGUGGUGAACAUGGGAGAGGACAAUGUGGAGGGCUACAGCUGCUAGCAAAAACCUUGACUCCAGAGGCCACACGAAAAGCCCAGUAAAUAAAGGAGUUAUUUCAAAUCACUCGAGAGCCUGGAGGAACAGUCAGAGUAUCAGAGAUGACAAGGACAUUAUAAAUCGCCAAGUCCAACCCUUAUUUAAAAAUAAUUGUCACGCUGGUAGAAAAACAGCGCCAAGCCUCGUGACGAGGGAGUCACGUCUAAUAUUUUGAAUUUGUAUAUAUUAGCUAAUUUUGUAUGUGUGUCCGCAUGUGUGUGCUGUGGCAUGUGCGUGCAGGUCAGAGGACAAGGUGCAGAAGUUUGUUCUCCACGAAAUGGGACGUGGAGAUUGAUCUCAGGUCGUCAACCUUUGCCUGCUGAACCCUCUCACUAGCCCAGAAAUAUGUAAUAUUAUCCAAAGAUAGCCACUCUAGAGUCCUAUUAUCUUUAGAUGUUUUUCUUUCCUACUCAUAUAGACCAGUUAUUUGGGGGCGGGGUGGGGAAGAAAAUAAUAAAGGAAGUUAUUCUGUUAUACUAAUUUGUAACUUGCAAGCACACUGUUUUGUAACUUGCUUUUUUUUUCUCCUCCUCACAAUAUGCUGUGAACAUGUUUCCUCAUCAAUAAAUAUUGUGCCUACUAUCUU
rnacentral:lncRNA from 1 species